rnacentral:snoRNA from 1 species
AAGUACAUUUAAUAGGUCAUUUCAAGGCUGUGAAACCAGGAUCUGUUGAUACUGUGACUGAACAUUAGCGUUCUCCAUAGUCCCACUCAAUAAUGCAGAGCUUUCCUAAGGUAAUGUCAGA